rnacentral:rRNA from 1 species
GACGAACGCUGGCGGCGUGCUUAACACAUGCAAGUCGAACGGAAAGGCCCUGCUUUUGUGGGGUGCUCGGGUGGCGAACGGGUGAGUAACACGUGAGUAACCUGCCCUUGACUUUGGGAUAACUUCAGGAAACUGGGGCUAAUACCGGAUAGGAGCUCCUGCUGCAUGGUGGGGGUUGGAAAGUUUCGGCGGUUGGGGAUGGACUCGCGGCUUAUCAGCUUGUUGGUGGGGUAGUGGCUUACCAAGGCUUUGACGGGUAGCCGGCCUGAGAGGGUGACCGGCCACAUUGGGACUGAGAUACGGCCCAGACUCCUACGGGAGGCAGCAGUGGGGAAUAUUGCGCAAUGGGCGGAAGCCUGAUGCAGCAACGCCGCGUGCGGGAUGACGGCCUUCGGGUUGUAAACCGCUUUCGCCUGUGACGAAGCGUGAGUGACGGUAAUGGGUAAAGAAGCACCGGCUAACUACGUG